rnacentral:rRNA from 1 species
GACGAACGCUGGCGGCGUGCCUAAUACAUGCAAGUUGAGCGAUGAAGAUUGGUGCUUGCACCAAUUUGAAGAGCAGCGAACGGGUGAGUAACGCGUGGGGAAUCUGCCUUUGAGCGGGGGACAACAUUUGGAAACGAAUGCUAAUACCGCAUAAUAACUUUAAACAUAAGUUUUAAGUUUGAAAGAUGCAAUUGCAUCACUCAAAGAUGAUCCCGCGUUGUAUUAGCUAGUUGGCGAGGUAAAGGCUCACCAAGGCGAUGAUACAUAGCCGACCUGAGAGGGGGAUCGGCCAAAAUGGGACUGAGACACGGCCCAAACUACUACGGGAGGCAGCAGUAGGGAAACUUCGGCAAUGGACGAAAGUCUGACCGAGCAACGCCGAGUGAGUGAAGAAGGGUUUCGGAUCGUAAAACUCUGUUGGUAGAGAAGAAAGUUGGUGAGAGUGGAAAGCUCAUCAAGUGACGGUAACUACACAGAAAGGGACGGCUAACUACGUG